rnacentral:rRNA from 1 species
UACGUAGGGGGCUAGCGUUGUCCGGAAUUAUUGGGCGUAAAGAGCUCGUAGGCGGUUUGUCGCGUCUGCUGUGAAAAUCCAGGGCUUAACCCUGGACCUGCAGUGGGUACGGGCAGACUGGAGUGCGGUAGGGGAGAUCGGAAUUCCUGGUGUAGCGGUGAAAUGCGCAGAUAUCAGGAGGAACACCGGUGGCGAAGGCGGAUCUCUGGGCCGUAACUGACGCUGAGGAGCGAAAGCAUGGGGAGCAAACAGG